rnacentral:rRNA from 1 species
GACGAACGCUGGCGGCGUGCCUAAUACAUGCAAGUAGAACGCUGAAGAGAGGAGCUUACUCUUCUUGGAUGAGUUGCGAACGGGUGAGUAACGCGUAGGUAACCUGCCUUGUAGCGGGGGAUAACUAUUGGAAACGAUAGCUAAUACCGCAUAACAAUGGAUGACACAUGUCAUUUAUUUGAAAGGGGCAAUUGCUCCACUACAAGAUGGACCUGCGUUGUAUUAGCUAGUAGGUGAGGUAAUGGCUCACCUAGGCGACGAUACAUAGCCGACCUGAGAGGGUGAUCGGCCACACUGGGACUGAGACACGGCCCAGACUCCUACGGGAGGCAGCAGUAGGGAAUCUUCGGCAAUGGGGGCAACACUGACCGAGCAACGCCGAGUGAGUGAAGAAGGGUGUCGGAUCGUAAAGCUCCGUUGUAAGUCAAGAACGGGUGUGAGAGUGGAAAGUUCACACUGUGACGGUAGCUUACCAGAAAGGGACGGCUAACUACGUG